rnacentral:lncRNA from 1 species
AUGAAGUUGAAUAUCUCCUUCCUGGCCAGCAGCUAUCAGAAAUUCCUUGAAGUGGAUGAUGAACACAAGCUUUGUACUUUCUGUGAGCAAUGCAUGGCCACAGAAGUAGCUGAUGCUCUGGGGGAGGAGUGGAGGGGUUAUGUGGUCAGAAUCAGUGGUGGGAACAACAAACAAGGUUUUCCCAUGAAGCAAGACGUUUUGAGAGCUGGAGAGGGAAGGU